AUUGAACGCUGGCGGCAUGCUUUACACAUGCAAGUCGAACGGCAGCACGGACUUCGGUCUGGUGGCGAGUGGCGAACGGGUGAGUAAUGUAUCGGAACGUACCUUUCAGUGGGGGAUAACGUAGCGAAAGUUACGCUAAUACCGCAUAUUCUGUGAGCAGGAAAGCAGGGGAUCGCAAGACCUUGCGCUGAUUGAGCGGCCGAUAUCAGAUUAGCUAGUUGGUGGGGUAAAGGCCUACCAAGGCUACGAUCUGUAGCGGGUCUGAGAGGAUGAUCCGCCACACUGGAACUGAGACACGGUCCAGACUCCUACGGGAGGCAGCAGUGGGGAAUUUUGGACAAUGGGGGCAACCCUGAUCCAGCCAUGCCGCGUGAGUGAAGAAGGCCU
rnacentral:rRNA from 1 species